ACGGGAGGCAGCAGUGAGGAAUCUUCCACAAUGGGCGAAAGCCUGAUGGAGCAACGCCGCGUGAAGGAUGAAGGCCUUCGGGUUGUAAACUUCUUUUAUGAGUGAAGAAUAUGACGGUAACUCAUGAAUAAGCACCGGCUAACUACGUGCCAGCAGCCGCGGUCAUACGUAGGGUGCAAGCAUUAUCCGGAGUGACUGGGCGUAAAGAGUUGCGUAGGCGGUUUAGUAAGUGAAUAGUGAAACCUGGUGGCUCAACCAUACAGACUAUUAUUCAAACUGUUAAACUCGAGAGUGGUAGAGGUAACUGGAAUUUCUAGUGUAGGAGUGAAAUCCGUAGAUAUUAGAAGGAACACCGAUGGCGUAGGCAGGUUACUGGGCCAUUUCUGACGCUAAGGCACGAAAGCGUGGGGAGCGAACCGGAUCAGAUACCCGGGUAGUCCACGCCGUAAACGAUGGAUACUAGCUGUUGGAGGUAUCGACCCCUUCAGUAGCGAAGCUAACGCGUUAAGUAUCCCGCCUGUGGAGUACGGCCGCAAGGCUAAAA
rnacentral:rRNA from 1 species